CGGGACGGGGUGGAGUAAUAUCUGGGAAACUGCCUGAUGGAGGGGGAUAACUACUGGAAACGGUAGCUAAUACCGCAUAACGUCGCAAGACCAAAGAGGGGGACCUUCGGGCCUCUUGCCAUCGGAUGUGCCCAGAUGGGAUUAGCUAGUAGGUGGGGUAACGGCUCACCUAGGCGACGAUCCCUAGCUGGUCUGAGAGGAUGACCAGCCACACUGGAACUGAGACACGGUCCAG
rnacentral:rRNA from 1 species